CGGCGGACGGGUGAGUAAUGCCUAGGAAUCUGCCUGGUAGUGGGGGACAACGUUUCGAAAGGAACGCUAAUACCGCAUACGUCCUACGGGAGAAAGCAGGGACCUUCGGGCCUUGCGCUAUCAGAUGAGCCUAGGUCGGAUUAGCUAGUUGGUGAGGUAAUGGCUCACCAAGGCGACGAUCCGUAACUGGUCUGAGAGGAUGAUCAGUCACACUGGAACUGAGACACGGUCCAGACUCCUCGGGAGGCAGCAGUU
rnacentral:rRNA from 1 species